UACGUAGGGGGCAAGCGUUGUCCGGAAUCAUUGGGCGUAAAGAGCGCGUAGGCGGCCUGGUAAGUCCGCUGUGAAAGUCCAGGGCUCAACCCUGGAAUGCCGGUGGAAACUGUCAGGCUAGAGUCCGGAAGAGGCGAGUGGAAUUCCUGGUGUAGCGGUGAAAUGCGCAGAUAUCAGGAGGAACACCGGUGGCGAAGGCGGAUCUCUGGACCAUUACUGACGCUGAGGAGCGAAAGCGUGGGGAGCGAACAGG
rnacentral:rRNA from 1 species